UACGGAAGGCAGCAGGGGGAAUAUUGCACAAUGGGCGCAAGCCUGAUGCAGCCAUGCCGCGUGUAUGAAAAAGGCCUUCGGGUUGUAAAGUACUUUCAGUCGUGAGGAAGGUGUUAAGGUUAAUAACCUUAGCAAUUGACGUUAGCGACAGAAGAAGCACCGGCUAACUCCGUGCCAGCAGCCGCGGUAAUACGGAGGGUGCGAGCGUUAAUCGGAAUUACUGGGCGUAAAGGGCACGCAGGCGGUUAAUUAAGUUGGAUGUGAAAUCCCCGGGCUUAACCUGGGAAUGGCAUUCAAGACUGGUUAGCUAGAGUCUUGUAGAGGGGGUAGAAUUCCAUGUGUAGCGGUGAAAUGCGUAGAGAUGUGGAGGAAUACCGGUGGCGAAGGCGGCCCCUGGACAAAGACUGACGCUCAUGUGCGAAAGCGUGGGGAGCGAAACAGGGAUUAGAUACC
rnacentral:rRNA from 1 species